rnacentral:rRNA from 1 species
GGCCGCGGGAAUUCGAUUCAGGCCUAACACAUGCAAGUCGAGCGAGAAGCCAAUUUGAAGCGUUUUCGGACAAUUCUGUUUGGUGGAAAGCGGCGGACGGGUGAGUAACGCGUAGGCAACCUGCCCUUAGCAGAGGGAUAGCCAUUGGAAACGAUGAUUAAAACCUCAUAAUGCCGGUUUUACACAUGUUGGACCGGCCAAAGAUUUAUCGGCUAAGGAUGGGCCUGCGUCUGAUUAACUAGUUGGUGAGGUAACGGCUCACCAAGGUGACGAUCAGUAGCCGACCUGAGAGGGUGAUCGGCCACAUUGGAACUGAGACACGGUCCAAACUUCUACGGAAGGCAGCAGUAAGGAAUCUUGCACAAGGGGGGAAACCCUGAUGCAGCAACGCCGCGUGAACGAUAAAGGCCUUCGGGUUGUAAAGUUCUGAUCUGGGGAAGAAGAAAGUGACGUACCCA